rnacentral:rRNA from 1 species
AGCGAACGCUGGCGGCAGGCCUAAAACAUGCAAGUCGAACGCCGUAGCAAUACGGAGUGGCAGACGGGUGAGUAACACGUGGGAACGUACCCUUUGGUUCGGAACAACACAGGGAAACUUGUGCUAAUACCGGAUAAGCCCUUACGGGGAAAGAUUUAUCGCCAGAGGAUCGGCCCGCGUCUGAUUAGCUUGUUGGUGAGGUAACGGCUCACCAAGGCUACGAUCAGUAGCUGGUCUGAGAGGAUGAUCAGCCACACUGGGACUGAGACACGGCCCAGACUCCUACGGGAGGCAGCAGUUAGGAAUCUUGGACAAUGGGCGCAAGCCUGAUCCAGCCAUGCCGCGUGAGUGAUGAAGGCCUUAGGGUUGUAAGCUCUUUCAGCGGGGAAGAUAAUGACGGUACCCGCAGAAGAACGCCCCGGCUAACUUCGUGCCAGCA